GGAAGGAUCAUUAUUGAAUACCACUUGAUGAGUUGUAGCUGGCUCUCUGGAGCAUGUGCACGCUUGUCUUGUAUUCUAUUUAUCCACCUGUGCACUAUUUGUAGUCUUUGAAGGUUCUGGGAAACAGCUAUUUAUCAGUCAAUAGACUGGUGCAAGAAGUUUGCAGUGGUGUAGUGCUCUGCUCUCUUCAACUUGUUGUGAACCUCCCUUUGGAGUCUAUGUUUAUUACUCAUAAACGAAUGUCAUUGAAUGUGUAUAUCAGGGCCUUUGUGCCUAUAAAAUCUAUACAACUUUCAGCAACGGAUCUCUUGGCUCUCGCAUCGAUGAAGAACGCAGCGAAAUGCGAUAAGUAAUGUGAAUUGCAGAAUUCAGUGAAUCAUCGAAUCUUUGAACGCACCUUGCGCUCCUUGGUAUUCCGAGGAGCAUGCCUGUUUGAGUGUCAGUUUAUUCUCAAACUAUCUAGCUUUUGUAGCUGGAUAGCUUUGGAUAUGGAGGUUUGCAGGCCCUUUUGAGGUGUCAGCUCCUCUGAAAUGCAUUAGCGGAACCGUUUGCAAUCUGUUAACUGGUGUGAUAAUAUCUAUGCUAGUGGGAUUGCUCUCAGUCUGUUCAGCUUCUAAUGGUUUUCCGUCAUGGAACAUAAUGAACCUUUGACCUCAAAUCAGGUAGGACUACCCGCUGAACUUAAGCAUAUCAAUAAGCGGAGGAAAAGAAACUAACAAGGAUUCCCCUAGUAACUGCGAGUGAAGCGGGAAAAGCUCAAAUUUAAAAUCUGGCAGUCUUUGGCCGUCCGAGUUGUAAUCUAGAGAAGUAUUGCCCGCGCUGGACCGUGUACAAGUCUCCUGGAAUGGAGCGUCAUAGAGGGUGAGAAUCCCGUCUUUGACAUGGACUACCAGGGCUUUGUGGUAUGCUCUCAAAGAGUCGAGUUGUUUGGGAAUGCAGCUCAAAAUGGGUGGUAAAUUCCAUCUAAAGCUAAAUAUUGGCGAGAGACCGAUAGCGAACAAGUACCGUGAGGGAAAGAUGAAAAGAACUUUGGAAAGAGAGUUAAACAGUACGUGAAAUUGCUGAAAGGGAAACGCUUGAAGUCAGUCGCGUUGGCCAGGGAUCAGCCUCACUUUUGUGUGGUGUACUUUCUGGUUGAUGGGUCAGCAUCAAUUUUGACCACUGGAAAAAGGCAUGGGGAAUGUGGCAGCUUCGGCUGUGUUAUAGCUUCAUGUUGUAUACAAUGGUUGGGAUUGAGGAACUCAGCACGCCGAAAGGCCGGGUUUCGACCACGUUCGUGCUUAGGAUGCUGGCAUAAUGGCUUUAAGCGACCCGUCUUGAAACACGGACCAAGGAGUCUAACAUGCCUGCGAGUGUUUGGGUGGUAAACUCAAGCGCGUAAUGAAAGUGAAAGUUGAGAUCCCUGUCGUGGGGAGCAUCGACGCCCAGACCAGAACUUUUGGGACGGAUCUGCGGUAGAGCAUGUAUGUUGGGACCCGAAAGAUGGUGAACUAUGCCUGAAUAGGGUGAAGCCAGAGGAAACUCUGGUGGAGGCUCGUAGCGAUUCUGACGUGCAAAUCGAUCGUCAAAUUUGGGUAUAGGGGCGAAAGACUAAUCGAACCAUCUAGUAGCUGGUUCCUGC
rnacentral:misc_RNA from 1 species